CUGUAGUAACAGUGAGAGGCUCUGUGGCUGCCUAGAAAACUUGUGAUUGUCAGCUUCUAGCACAUAUAAAUAGAUCACAUGAUUUUGAGAUCACACGUCAGUCCAUCACAUAUCAGUACUGCUUAAGCUAUGUCCCGCAAGUCUCAACAUACAGUGUUUUCAUUCAGUUCCAGACCUAUGCUGUAGCCCAUACUAUAUUGAAUGUGGUGAACAUUUAUAAAUGUUACGUAUGUGUCUAAGAAAGUGUCCUAUAGUUGCUCCUAUGGAGCUUGUGCAAAAUUUCACUGCACAGUGAAACGCUGGAACACGUGCACCCCAAUGUUUCUAGCAGCAAUGUCCACAAUAGCCAAACUGUGGAAGGAGCCUCGGUGUCCAUCGAAAGAUGAAUGGAUAAAGAAGAUGUGGUCUAUGUAUACAAUGGAAUAUUAGC